UACGAAGGGGGCUAGCGUUGUUCGGAUUUACUGGGCGUAAAGCGCACGUAGGCGGAUCGUUAAGUCGGGGGUGAAAGUCCAGGGCUCAACCCUGGAAUGCCGGUGGAAACUGUCGAGCUAGAGUCCGGAAGAGGCGAGUGGAAUUCCUGGUGUAGCGGUGAAAUGCGCAGAUAUCAGGAGGAACACCAAUGGCGAAGGCAGCUCGCUGGGACGGUACUGACGCUGAGACGCGAAAGCGUGGGGAGCAAACAGG
rnacentral:rRNA from 1 species